GGGAUUUCACUCUUCACUUGGAUCCUACUGGAUACCCACAGAUCCUCCUCAAACGUGGCACAAGUGUAUCAACUCGCUCAGGACCAUGGAAUGGUUUAUAUUGGAACUGGGGACCCCACUGUUAGCAUGAUAUAAAUAUUGUAUAUAUUAAUGUAUCCAUAUAUUGUUGUAUAUUAGUGUAAUUACAUAGAUUUGAUUUAGUAAUUAAAGAGAAUAAUAGUGGCUUUAGUAGAGCAGAUUUAGUGAGAUAGAAUACCGAAUUUAGAGGGAUAGAAAAGCUGAUCUUUAGAGAUAGGAAGAUGGAUUUUUAGGGAUGUAAUCAUUGAAUAUUUUCUAUUUAAUGGAAAGACUCUCAAUAUUGAGAGGCAUUCAACAAAAAAUUGACAUGGUAUCAGAGCCUUCUCUUGGCUGUAUUGUUUCAUAGAGUUCAUUUGUGGUUCCUUUCAGCCUUUUUGAAAAAUUUCAAUUUUUGUUGAUUGUUCCUCGACAAUUAACACCUUGGACUUUGAUCUUGUUCGUUUUGGUUAUUCUUUUUGAGUCAGUGUUUCUAGUUUUCAUAACUAUGACUUCAUAUCAGUUUGAAUCAUUCAGUGUUCGUUUCACUGGAAAGAAUUUUUUGUUAUGAGAGUUUUAGUUUUAGUUAUUGGUCACUGGAAAAGAACUAUGGGCUAUACAGAUGGAGCCGAUCCUGCUCCUACUGAUCCUACAAAGUUAGGUGAAUGAAAGAUUAAAGAUGCUCGGGUGAUGACAUAGAUUUUAGGGUCAAUUGACCCUCUUAUUGUUCUUAAUCUCAGGCCUUACAAGACAGCUAAAGCCAUGUGGAAUUAUUUACAAAGGGUUUACAAACAAGAUAAUAGUGCUCGGCGAUUUCACUUAGAGUAUGGAAUUGCUAAUUACUCUCAAGGAGGUCUUUCUGUUCGGGAUUAUUUUUUUGGAUUUCAAAACUUAUGGGCUGAAUUUACUAAUAUUGUUUAUGCUAAAAUACAAACCGAAUGUCUCUUUGUAAUUCAACAAGUUCAUGAGCAAAGCAAACGAGAUCAAUUUUUGAUGAUGUUACGCUUUGAGUUUGAGAGUGUUCGCUCCCACUUAAUGAAUCGUGACCCGUCUCCAUCUUUGGAUGUUUUUUUUAGGGAAUUACUUUGUGAAGAGCAGCGUUUUAUCAGACAAAAUGCUUUUAAGAAAGCUGAUGAUAUUGUUGUUGCAUUUGCUGCCCAAGGUAAAGGAAAGGGUAAGGACAUGACUAGAACUUAAUGCUACAGUUGCAAAGGAUAUGGUCAUAUUGCUAGCAAUUGUGGCAUGAAGUUUUCUAAUUAUUGCAAACAACAAGGACACAUUAUCAUAGUAUGUCUCACACACCUUCAAAACCGUAAGGUUAAUGCUUUUCAAGCGGGGAAAAAUGGUUUUACUACUGAGAACUCAUUUUCAAGACAAGUUCUUACUCCUGAAAUGGUAAGACAAAUGAUCAUGUCAGCCUUUUCAGCUUUAGGGCUACAAGGUAAUGAUCUUGCAUCUAAUUUUUGGCUUGUUGAUUCUGGAGCUUCCAAUCAUAUGGCCAACUUAUCUAGUAUGCUAAAAAAUGUUCGUAAGUAUUAUGAUCCAUCACAAAUUCAAGUUGCCAAUAGUAGUAAUUUACCCAUUACCAAGGUUGGGGAUAUUACUAAAACUUUCAACAAUGUCUUUGUGUCACCAUUAGUCUUAUUUCAGUUGUACAAUUGGUAGAUAACAAUUGUGAUGUGAAUUUUUCUUGUAAUGGUUGUCUUGUGUAGGAUUAGGUGUCGGGGAUGAUAAUUGCGAAGGGGACUAAAGUUGGACAACUAUUUUCUAUACGCUUAUUCAUUCCUUGUGUUCUAUCAUUUUGUAAGACCCCGCAAAAUCCUAAGUCUAAUUCAGCCCCUCAAACCUUGAAAAGGGAUCCAACAUUUAGAUAAUUUUAGCUAAGUGUUAAGGACUUAGUUUCUUUUAAGCCUUCAAACUUCGGGGAUUUAUUUCACGACCUUCCUAACCUUCAUUUUCUUGAUUUUCAAGUUGAUUCACGAUGGGGAAAGUCAAUAGUACAUCUUGGGUGCAUUUUAGGGGCAUAACACACUAGUUUGAAAUGUCUUUGAAAUGCUCCAUUAUUCCGGGCGCAUCUUGGGUGCAUUUCAGGGGCAUAACAUACUGGUUUGAAAUACUCCAGCAUUCCGGGUGCAUUUCAGGCCCCAAUUUCAGGGUCAACUUUCAAUGAUCAUAACUUCCUGUAUAUAAUGAACUGAGAUAGCUGAUAUAUAUCAAAUGAAAGAUCUUUGAUUCUUCUUUCCAAUGCAACUAAUUUCAUCCAAAUCCAACAACGGAGUAAAAAGUUAUGCCCAAUUUACUUUAGCCUGUCAACCUAUCAAUAGAGGGACUGCUGCGACUUUUUUUUAUUUCCUUAGGGGUAUUUUAGUCUUUCCCCCCAUCAUUAUUCAACCAUAAACACAAGAUUAAACUCCCAUUUCAGUAAAAUAUACUCUUUUAUCUCAAGUUCUCUCAAGAACAAGAAGAGGGGUUUCCAAAUCAAGAUCUAAAUCUCAAGAAUUUUUCCAUCAAUCUUCCCAAAUGAAGCAUCAAGGUAUGUUAAGUGUUCAUCCUUGAGUAUCCUUUCACCCUUGGAGUUCAAGAAUAUCUUUCAAAACUACAAGUUAGUUGAUGUUAUAAAUCUCAUGUUGAAUCUAAGUUUAAUCUUGAUUAUGAUGUUAGAUUGGGUAUUAUAUUCCAUGACUUAUCUCAAGCUUCAUGAAAACUAGUUAAUUGUAACGUCCCAAAGUUUUCUUAGCUAAGUCUUGUCCCUAAAGUAGCAGACUUUAGCUUCUAGAAUUAAUUAUAUUCUUUUCCCAAUGAAAUUCCUUAGAUUUGAACUUUUCAUUAUGUAGAUGACUGAAUAGGCUUUCCGUCGAUAUAAGAUUCGUCCAAAACGAACACUCGGUGAAGAAGUUAUGGCUAUUUUGUGUUGGUCGUAAAACAUCAUCAUUCUAGUGUUUAGCGCAUCGCGAAGAGGGUUUAAUUAGCAAUUGUCAAAUUUUAGUAGGACCUCGCGAUAGUGGUGCAUAGUGGAGGAUUCCAAUUUCGCAUUCCUCAAUUUCCAGUGAGCCACCGCGAUACUGGUGCGUCGCGGUGGCCCAUAAAAUCGGGUGUCACACCCCUUUUUUUACUCCAAAAGAUUCGUUUUAAGUUCGAAAGAAUUUUUAUUAUUAAGUGACAAAAUGAAGAUUUGUUUCGAAAAAGGAUUCACUAUAUUCAAAACUCAGAGUCGCCACUUGGCAUAAAUCGAGUGUGCCAAGUCACCCGUGGAUAUCCUUUUUCAAAACGUUUUGACUCUGUAACACUAAUCCGCAAACAGAGAUUCCGGCUAAGGAAUUCUAUUGACCAAGGGGAAGGUGUUAGGCACCCCUCAGUCCCGUUGUUCGACCAUGGUCGCUUGGUAGAGCAUAUCGGCUAAUCUGGCUUUACAAAUAUAUAAACCACACAAAAGCACGUAAAACAAUCAAACCAACAAACAAAACAGAACGAAUCAAAAAUAGUUUCCAGUCCGAGUUAUACAGUCCCAAAAAUAGAAAAAAUACGAAAAUGUAAAUCCUAUUCUAAACUAAACCUAGACUAAGCUUCAAUGCCUCACCUGAUGCCUCGGGCCUUCAUCGCGAUCGUUCUCCAAGUACAAGAUACUUCGGGGCAUUCCCCGAAUAAAUCAAUACAAAUCUCUCGGGGUAUUCCCCGGCUAAAUGAAUACACUUUCAAUGAGAAAAGACCACAAUCAUUCGACAAUAUUUCAAACAUUCCACAGGAUUUCCAACAUUCAAUCAAAGCUAUCGAUUCUAAAUAUUUGCCUACCCGACUUAUUUGCCUAAACCAAUCGAUGUAUCAUGUUACUACCAAAUUCAAAUUAACGUUCCUUUCAAGUUAUACGAACAAUGAAAUCAAACUAACCAAAAUCGCCAAUUAUAUCAAGUUUCCAAUUUUCACCCACAAACCCAUUUUUAACCACAACAAUUAACACAUGCUUCGAUUAUUAAAUCACAUCUCAAAAUCCGCAACCAACAUUCUUCACAAACAAACAACGAAGAUUCGAACUAAGCACACAACACAUAAAUCAUUCAUACCCACGACAUUAAUAAAAAAAAAUUAAGAUAAAAGUAAAGAUCGGGGAGAAGAAAUGGACCUCAAAGCUUUCGAUUGGUUUUAAUAAGAGAGAUAAGAGCUGAUCCAAGAAGCCCGAAGAAUACCAACAGAACCUCAAAUUUGACUCUCUCAAUCAGUUAAGAACCAGCUCAGCAAUGCGAUAAUUGACCUCCGUUCCGACCAAGAUAUAUCUUCAAACGAAAUCAACGAACAAACAAAACUGAACACUGGAGUAUGACCAAAAUGACCCAGAUCCGCAGAGAAUAAAUGAUUACCAGAGCCAGAUUUAUAGAAAGAAAAUAAAACUAAUGGAAGCCCACGAGAUCGGAGCUCCGGCAAAAACUAAUGACUGGAAGAAAAUGACAAAGAUGGGAUCAGUUUUUGGCUAUAUCUUAUCCAGAAAUCAGAGGAAAAUAACGAGAUUUGGCGAGUUUGGGAUUGAUCCAACGAACGACGAAUGGAGGAGAUGAUUCCGGUGAAGCUACUGCCGGAACAGUAACCCAAAACCCUUCGUUCUCUCUCUAUCCGUCUCUCUGUUUCUCCCUAUGUGGGGAAGAGCCAAAAAAAAGAAGGAAAAAAAAAGAAUGGAGUCCUUCGCUGGGUGUGUCUAUGGAUGGAGAAGAUGCUCUGUGGUCUCUUCUUUUAUCUGAGAAUCUCUCCCCUCCUUAUUACUGUGAUGUGUAUAUAUGUGGGAUCUUUGGGGUGAGUAUGUGAGGGUCUUUGUAUCUGUGGAUAAUUGUGUGUGCGUGAAGAAGAGACCAAAAGAAAAAAAAGGGAAUCGUUUCUAGUGAGCUCUAUCCAAUCCCCUUAAAACAAAAUGGUUCCUUGUGGGUUUUCCUGCAAGUUUCCUA
rnacentral:lncRNA from 1 species